UACGUAGGGGGCUAGCGUUGUCCGGAAUCAUUGGGCGUAAAGAGCGCGUAGGCGGCCAGAUAAGUCCGGUGUGAAAGUCAAAGGCUCAACCUUUGAAUGCCGCUGGAAACUGUCUGGCUAGAGUCCGGGAGGGGCGAGUGGAAUUCCUGGUGUAGCGGUGAAAUGCGCAGAUAUCAGGAGGAACACCAAUGGCGAAGGCAGCUGCCUGGCCUAGAACUGACGCUGAGGUGCGAAAGCGUGGGGAGCGAACAGG
rnacentral:rRNA from 1 species